UACGUAGGGGGCAAGCGUUGUCCGGAUUCAUUGGGCGUAAAGAGCGUGUAGGCGGCCAGGUAGGUCGGUUGUGAAAACUGGAGGCUCAACCUUCAGAGGUCGACCGAAACCAUCUGGCUAGAGUCCGGGAGAGGAGAGUGGAAUUCCCGGUGUAGCGGUGGAAUGCGUAGAGAUCGGGAAGAACACCCGUGGCGAAGGCGGCUCUCUGGGACGGUACUGACGCUGAGACGCGAAAGCGUGGGGAGCGAACAGG
rnacentral:rRNA from 1 species